rnacentral:rRNA from 1 species
AAUAGAUACCCAGGUAGUCCACGCCGUAAACGUUGGGCGCUAGAUGUGGGGGACCAUUCCACGGUUUCCGCGUCGUAGCUAACGCAUUAAGCGCCCCGCCUGGGGAGUACGGCCGCAAGGCUAAAACUCAAAGGAAUUGACGGGGGCCCGCACAAGCGGCGGAGCAUGCGGAUUAAUUCGAUGCAACGCGAAGAACCUUACCAAGGCUUGACAUAUGCGAGAACGCUCUAGAAAUGUAGGACUCUUUGGACACUCGUAUACAGGUGGUGCAUGGUUGUCGUCAGCUCGUGUCGUGAGAUGUUGGGUUAAGUCCCGCAACGAGCGCAACCCUCGUCGCAUGUUGCCAGCACGUAAAGGUGGGAACUCAUGUGAGACUGCCGGGGUCAACUCGGAGGAAGGUGGGGAUGACGUCAAAUCAUCAUGCCCCUUAUGUCUUGGGCUUCACGCAUGCUACAAUGGCCGGUACAAAGGGCUGCAAUACCGUAAGGUGGAGCGAAUCCCAAAAAGCCGGUCUCAGUUCGGAUUGAGGUCUG